rnacentral:rRNA from 1 species
UACAGAGGGGGCAAGCGUUAUUCGGAAUUAUUGGGCGUAAAGGGCGCGUAGGCGGCUUGGCAAGUGGAUGGUGAAAUCCCUCGGCUUAACCGAGGAACUGCCAUCCAGACUGCUUUGCUUGUGGCCGGGAGAGGUGAGUGGAAUUCCCAGUGUAGCGGUGAAAUGCGUAGAUAUUGGGAGGAACACCAGUGGCGAAGGCGGCUCACUGGACCGGUUCUGACGCUGAUGCGCGAAAGCGUGGGGAGCAAACGGG